CCAAAAUUUGGAGUGGAUUUACUUCUCAACCCUCUUGCUCAAAGAGAAACAGCCAUCCAGGCAACAUGAACAACAACAAUAACAACAGAGAGCGGGGCAAGAUGCCACCUGGACCCUUUGGAGGACUGUAUGGCAGAGUGGGCGUGGAAAGCAGAGCAUGAGGAGGAGGAGGAGGAGGGGAAAGAGGGGGGUAAAGGGUGCCUGGUGCCCUGUCGCUGAUAUGCCAUAAGGAUGGCAGGCACGUAAUGAUAGCAACUGUAGAAGGGGGGGCGAACAGAUGGCAAAGCUGGACUGGUGCCAAGGAAACGAAAACAUGACUGCACAUGGGAGAAUACUCACUAGUACCUCCCCCCUCCUCACACACUUGUUGAUGCGUCUACCCAUGUGGAAGAAUGACAGCACUUCAAAUGCGUCAAAGCCAUUGUCACUUCUGCCAUAAUGCCUGACUGCAGUCUUUUCUUUAAAAGGAAAAAAAAAAUCAUCGAAUGUGUCAAUAUCACUAAAUAUUCACUGUAGAGUGAGUGAGAGGGCCUACAGCAAAACAAAUGUGUCUGCCCUCAAUUUGACCUCCCAUCAUGCGGCAAAAGGCCAAAUAUCGACUCCUGCAUGCUUAUGGUCUUGGCUGUUGAAAAAUGUAUGUUUUCACAAACUUUAACCUUUGUUUUAACACGGUGGAAUAUUCUUGUGAUGAUAAAUAAAGCGGUUACCACAUGAAUUUGAACUUUUGGGGUAUUUCUAAUAAAAUUGAUUGAAACCCAACAUAUAUGCUUGAAAUUUAGUUUUUGUUUAUGUCUGUAAAUGUUCCGGCAAUAGGUUUUUAAUGCCAAGAGGAAUCCUGAAGAAGACGUUGAAUGUUUACGUACGUUUUUGGUUACCUAUUGUGAAAUCAUUCAUGUUUUCUCGAUUUGCAUGAUUGGCAGAAGGAUGAGAUGUUAGAAAACACUGUCAGAAGCUCUGCUAUAUGUAGAUAAAGACGACUUAUUUAAUCAUACUCUAUGUGUGGUUGGCUAGUCUGACGGGGGACGGGAAUCAAACGUACAUUUGAAUAAUAACAAUUAUAGCCUCAAAAUUGAGUCGCAUAGAGGCAGAAAUAAGCGAGACGAUUUGACUUGCGGAUCAGGCUCUGCAUAUCUGCAUGCUAAUUACAUGGUGAAAUGGGGGGGGUGGAAAGCGCCCCCCCCUUGCUUCUAUGCGCCAGACAGAGCAAGGGCGAGGGAGGGAAGACAUUGCAGACACGAGCAAGAAACAAGGGGAUGGGUGGCGCAACAAACGGACAAACAAACGAAGGAAUCAAACGGAGAUGCAGACGAGACCAGCCACUAAUUUGCCGUCGGCCUUUCUUUUACGGCACCCGGGAAACAAAGCGACCCAAAUGGAGGCGGCAGAAAGGAGCUGAGAACGAGGAAUGGGCAUUGGAGCGCCAUUGGAGGGGGACAUCUUAAAAUUAAAAUUAUUGAUUGAUCUUAAGGUUGCUUUGGGGGUUGCAGAUCGCUUUUGAGGAUGUAAUUAGUGCGGACUGGGGCCACGGCUGGGAUGGUAAUAGAUGACGUUGGAAUUCAUCAUGGCGAUUGGCCAUUAAUCUCCAUCUCAGAGGAGCAGGAUAUUAAAAAUUAUAAUUGGAGGGACAACAUUGAUGUAGAUGCUGUGUGUGUGUGUGUGUGUGUGUGUGUGUGUGUACAAUGGUGGAAGGCUGCUCUUGGAUGUUUUUCAAUAAUUGUCACCACGGGGGAAUCCUGUUGAGAAUUAGCUACUGAAUUUGCUGCUGAUUUGAAUUAUGAACUGUUCACCAUGCAGCUUGUAUGUAGUGCCAUGUCGCGUAUAAGUAAGUAAUAUGAUAAAGUCAACUAAUAUAUAUUACAAGACAAGUGGUUCUCUCUAUGUUAUUUCUUUUCUGUCCAUGUACUUGACUGGAUUAUACAUGUUUUCUGAAUUUAACAUGCAUAUCAAUGAUUUCCGACUUCUACAUACUGUCCAUAUGAAACAAAAAUAAAAUCCUCCUAUUUCA